UUUCUUUAUUUCUUUACUCCGACUCCUAUGAUGAACAUGUACAUAAAAAACUAGGUUAAACUAGGUUACUACGAUUAAAUCACGGCCGUAGAAAGUAAAAUAGGUGAAAUUUUUAUGGGACACAAUCAAAGGCGAGGAUAUAAGAGCGAGAGAUUGAAAUUGAGUAGGAAUAGCGUACAGGGGUAUGCGUUUUGACCUAACAGUUCUCUUCAGCAGGGUUUUUUAAGAGGGGGGGGGGUAGAUAUAAUUUGAAGAGGAGAAGGAAGGAGAGUUUAUAGGAGUUCGGAAAACUUGUGACUGUAGGUGAUUGCAUCCAAAUAUGGUGUUGUGGUGUAGGAGCUUAUAAGACAGGGAUAGGGGCGUUUGGCAAUUAGUGAUACAUAAGGGAUAAAAAUAAUGAUAAUAACACCGUGCAGGGUUUGUUUGAAAUAUAUGAAUAUACAAUAAUAACAGAGAUUAGUAAAUGAAUGAUACGAUAUGACCAAUAGAUAGCUAUAGCUAGUUCUGGUGUGGAUUUUGCUACGUAGAGGAUCCAAGUUCACAUUAUUUUCCGAACUCCUAAACUCUCCUUUCUUCUCCUCUGCAAAUUCUAUAUACCCCCCCCCCCACCUUUAAAAAACCCUGCUGAAGAAGACUGUUAGGUCGAAACGCGUGUAGGGUUGCCUUUCCUAUACUCAAUUUCGAUCUCUCACUCUUAUAUCCUCACCUUUUAUGGAGUCCCAUAAAAAUUUCACCUACUUUAGUUUCUAUAUAUAAUCGUAGUUUCCCUAGUUUUCUUACGUACAUGUUCAUCAUAGGAGUCGG